GGCUAAGAUCAAGUGUAGUAUCUGUUCUU
rnacentral:piRNA from 4 species